UGCCAACGGCGCCGGCAGUGAGGAGAUGAAGAGAGGAAAAUGAAAAACGUUCGAAUUCCUUCCCGGCGGAACUCUCAUCCACUGUCAAAUGCAUCGAGUCACACGAUAGGAUGAGCAAUAUUUUGGCAGAUUAGAUAAUCACGGAUUUGGGAUGUUUAUUAGCAGUCUGAGGUGCAGCCGCAUCAGCAGUAGCACCUGAAUACCGUAAAAAAAAGAUCACUUGGAUAAGGAUCAAAUCAGUUGAGACCUGCAAAUGGAUUGGACUGUACAAAAAUAAUUCGUGAAUGGUUUAAUGCAUCAACCGAAACUUCUGCAUUCUCCAGAUAUCCAACGAAGAGAAUUAAUGCCAUAAAGUACCAUAUAUCAAGGCUGCGUGACAAUAACAACCAAAACAUGCAUCAUCAUAAACUCAUAAUUUUUUUAUUUAGUGUUCGCUAGUCAAUUAAAUCUUUAAUAUUUGUCAAAAAAUAAAAUCCUACUAUAAUAAUAAUAAUAAUAGUAAAAUAGUAAUACUAAUACCAUAAACGGAAUUGGAGAGAUUAAUGAUAGUUUGACCAACUUGAAUGGUUUACUCAUUAUUUUAAUUACCAUAUAUACAAAAACUAUCAUUAAUAUUAUCAGUCAAAAUUGAUGCGAUCCUUAAUAAUAGUAAACGAUAACAUGAUAUGGACAAAUCCACUAUUAAAUGGUAAAUUGAUGCGAUCCUUAAUAAUAGUAAACGAUAACAUGAUAUGGAUAAAAUUGAAUAGGGGAAUGAGUAAUUGGACAAAUCCACUAUUAAAUGUUGAAUCAAUUAACAUGUUCGUCCUCUUCUUACAAAAGGGAAAUAGAUGAAUAUCACAUA